GUACGAAUAAAAAAUAUAAGCAAAUUUUAACCUUUAGAUGACAAGUUGUUGGCGCCAACUGCCACACUUGCGGACCGUUAAGUUUUUAAAAACGCGUCGGUGGUGGCGCUGCAGUCGCAGACAACAACCAAUCAGCGCAGUUUAUUCGUAAAAAACAUGUAGUUACGAAUAGUUGAGAAAACAGAAACAUUCCUGAAGUAGUGUGGGGCAUCUGGAAGGUUCAAUUUUGAGGCAUUUUUGAAGGUAAUCUUUGUUUUGCAGUUAUUAAAUGUUUUUAAAGAAGAAUAAUAACUUCCAUAUUGUUAUCUAUGCAUUUUCUGCCUUUUUUAAUAUUCAGGGGGUGGUAUAAUGGGUAAUACAUACGUUAAAUAAGUAAAAUAAAAGCCCCAGCAAGUACUACUUAAAAUUAUCUGUAUUUGUCUGUAAUUUUUAAUAUAAUUUUAUUUCUCCACACAACGCUUAAAUUGUUUGCACCAGUUUUGCUCGACGUCCACGUCCGCAAAUGUCAAUUCGCAAUGUAUCACUACAGUUCUGCA